ACCUCUGUAGCUCAGUUGGUUAUAUCACUGCACCGGAAUCACAGGGCCAUAGGUUCGAUUCCUACCAGAGGGU
rnacentral:tRNA from 1 species